GAUGAACGCUGGCGGCGUGCCUAAUACAUGCAAGUCGAGCGAACAGACGAGGAGCUUGCUCCUCUGACGUUAGCGGCGGACGGGUGAGUAACACGUGGAUAACCUACCUAUAAGACUGGGAUAACUUCGGGAAACCGGAGCUAAUACCGGAUAAUAUAUUGAACCGCAUGGUUCAAUAUUGAAAGACGGUUUUGCUUUCACUUAUAGAUGGAUCCGCGCCGCAUUAGCUAGUUGGUAAGGUAACGGCUUACCAAGGCGACGAUGCGUAGCCGACCUGAGAGGGUGAUCGGCCACACUGGAACUGAGACACGGUCCAGACUCCUACGGGAGGCAGCAGUAGGGAAUCUUCCGCAAUGGGCGAAAGCCUGACGGAGCAACGCCGCGUGAGUGAUGAAGGUCUUCGGAUCGUAAAACUCUGUUAUUAGGGAAGAACAAAUGUGUAAGUAACUAUGCACGUCUUGACGGUACCUAAUCAGAAAGCCACGGCUAACUACGUG
rnacentral:rRNA from 1 species